rnacentral:tRNA from 1 species
GCGGGUGUGGUGGAAUUGGUAGACACGCUAGAUUUAGGAUCUAGUGCCGCGAGGCGUGGGGGUUCGAGUCCCUUCACCCGCA